rnacentral:tRNA from 1 species
CUUCAGUUAGCCUACUGGUUAAGGCUAUGGAUCGACAAUCCGGAAACGGCGGGUUCGAUUCCCGUUCCGAGCG